AGAGUUUGAUCCUGGCUCAGAUUGAACGCUGGAGGCGUGCUUAACACAUGCAAGUCGUGCGAGAAAGGGACUUCGGUCCUGAGUAGAGCGGCGCACGGGUGAGUAACGCGUGGGUAAUCUCCCCUGGUGAUCGGGAUAACAGCGGGAAACUGCUGCUAAUACCGGAUAAUCUUCAUGUUUAACUUCAUGGGGUAAAGGUGGCCUCUGCUUGCAAGCUACCACAUCAGGAUGAGCCCGCGUCUCAUUAGCUAGUUGGUAGGGUAAUGGCCUACCAAGGCUACGAUGAGUAGCUGGUCUGAGAGGAUGACCAGCCACACUGGGACUGGAACACGGCCCAGACUCCUACGGGAGGCAGCAGUGGGGAAUAUUGCGCAAUGGGCGAAAGCCUGACGCAGCGACGCCUCGUGAGGGAUGAAGGUCUUCGGAUUGUAAAGCUCUGUUAAUCGGGACGAAAGAGCCUAGUGUGAAUAAUGCUAGGAAGUGACGGUACCGGAAUAGAAAGCCACGGCUAACUACGUGCCAGCAGCCGCGGUAA
rnacentral:rRNA from 1 species